rnacentral:lncRNA from 1 species
UUGGUGUACAAAAUAUUUUCUGCUUUUUCUUUCUUUUACAUAUAUGAUUUGGUUUUAAAUUCUAGUGUUUAUAUUUAUUUACCAGGCAUAGAUGUAUUUUGUCACCUGUCUGGAUUUUUUUAGUUGAUAGCCAAAACCCGGGAUUACCCUUAUCCGCUUCCGGAAUCGGAUCCGAUAUUGUAAUCUCGCGGCAGCCAUUUUGUUUUCAAUGUUGUUUUUGACAGAUAGUGAGAUACGAUUUUACUCGGAUUUACACAUUAUUUACCGGCGAUUUUCUGUAUAAAGCUAGCGGUUGAACAAAUUGAACAUCGCUGUCAUGAAUGGUAAUGAUGAAAAUAAGUUUUGAGAUCGUUUAUUAGGAAACUUCGGUAAAAAUGUUUGCAAAGUUAUUUUUUUUAUUUUCUUUCAAGGUCCGUCGGGCGUAGCUAGUAACCACGUAGAAAGUCCGACUGCAAAAGUGGAAGGUCGCAGACCUCGUACCACCGCUAAUUUGAACCCCUGCGUCCAAAUUGAAAAGAUACGAAAAUUUCGUCUUCUAAUUCAAAAUUGCCGCCAACAGCGUGAUCAGUUGAACUUGUAUUACUAUAUUAAUAGACUACUGACGUAUAUAUACGUAGUUGACUACGUAUUGACGACAAACAAUAUUCCUACGACUUUUGUAAUUUGGGAAAUCUUAACUACUUGUCUUAAUAGAUUUUCGGCGAUUAAAUAUUUCAUACAUUUGUUCUUUGACAUCUUAGCCAAAAGCUCAGGGGAUAAUAAACUACAUAAGGAUUCAUAAUGUGCUCUACUUCCUAUGUGCAACUUCAAAACUUUUGGGAAAAUCGACGAUCAUUUAAGGUUUUUCUGGUCAUAUUUUUUGUAAUCCAGAAUGAAAAGUAUGAAAAAACUGUCCAAUAAGUUAUAAAUAAUAUAGUAGCCAGCUAGAUGAUAACAAUGGCACGUAUUUCAGCAUUUAUUGGGUAGCACACAAAUCCAGGGCGCUCGCAUAAGGCAGCUUAACU